rnacentral:lncRNA from 1 species
ACUCUAACAGGCUACGAAAGGGAAUUGACCACACAUAUGCUGAAUCCUAAUUUAUACACUAUCGGCAUUUCACAUGCGGGAUUUAAUUGGAAAAUUAACAAAAGAUAUAAAGAUAUACAAAGUUUGCAUCAGGAAUUGGUGUUGUUUAGAACAGGAUUAAACAUACCAUUGCCGAGUAAAACGCACAAAAAUAAAAGAAAAACUUUUAAGGAAAAUGUACCAAAAAAUAAGAAAGGAAAACGAAAAGCGUAAAUAUAUUCCCAAAUAAGCCGGAAAUAUUAGUUACUUAUGAAAAAAUUCCAAAUAGAAUGAAGCAAAUUCAAGAUUAUUUAA